rnacentral:rRNA from 1 species
GAUGAACGCUGGCGGCGUGCCUAAUACAUGCAAGUCGAGCGAACGGACGAGAAGCUUGCUUUUCUGAUGUUAGCGGCGGACGGGUGAGUAACACGUGGAUAACCUACCUAUAAGACUGGGAUAACUUCGGGAAACCGGAGCUAAUACCGGAUAAUAUUUUGAACCGCAUGGUUCAAAAGUGAAAGACGGUCUUGCUGUCACUUAUAGAUGGAUCCGCGCUGCAUUAGCUAGUUGGUAAGGUAACGGCUUACCAAGGCAACGAUGCAUAGCCGACCUGAGAGGGUGAUAGGCCACACUGGAACUGAGACACGGUCCAGACUCCUACGGGAGGCAGCAGUAGGGAAUCUUCCGCAAUGGGCGAAAGCCUGACGGAGCAACGCCGCGUGAGUGAUGAAGGUCUUCGGAUCGUAAAACUCUGUUAUUAGGGAAGAACAGAUGUGUAAGUAACUGUGCACAUCUUGACGGUACCUAAUCAGAAAGCCACGGCUAACUACGUG